GAUUCCUACGGGAGGCAGCAGUGGGGGAUAUUGCACAAUGGGGGAAACCCUGAUGCAGCGACGCCGCGUGGACGAAGAAGUAUUUCGGUAUGUAAAGUCCUAUCAGCAGGGAAGAAGAAAUGACGGUACCUGACUAAGAAGCCCCGGCUAACUACGUGCCAGCAGCCGCGGUAAUACGUAGGGGGCGAGCGUUAUCCGGAUUUACUGGGUGUAAAGGGAGCGUAGACGGUUCUGCAAGUCUGAAGUGAAAGCCCGUGGCUUAGCCGCGGAACGGCUUUGGAAACUGUGGAACUGGAGUGCUGGAG
rnacentral:rRNA from 1 species